UCCAAAGCACAGAGACGUUAACUGAUUGCUCCAAAUUACACAGCUUGGAAAGCAGUCCUACUCCCAAUUUGCCAUAGGAAGACUAGGAUUACAGUCACACACUGAAGAUUUGAACUUGGGACUACAGCUUAUGUGAGGAAAUCUCUCUCGGCCAAGCUGGGGCAGAGCUUUCAAGCCAGUGGAGCCAAACGGAGAAAGCACAAACAGGAACCACAGCCCUCCUCUUGGUUCAGCUAACUAGAAGAAAUGUAUUCCACUAUAAGGGUUCCCUGAUCUUCAAGGGGAGGAACCAGAUAGAGACCUCCAAUUUAGACUUUCUCUUCACAUAAUGUCUGACUGUGGGUCUCUGCACUGGCUAUCAUCUUCUGCCAGAAGCAGCCUCUCUGAUGAUGACUGGACAAGGCACUGAUCUUUUCCUGUUCCGGUGCCUGAUGCUAUGGCUCUUCUGCUGUUAUGAAGAGUACCUCUGAAUGGUCAGCUGGUGUUGGCAGAGGUGGAGGUUCAGCUGGUGCUGGCUCCAUGCUGUGUGCUGGAGCUGUCUGCUCUUGUCUCUGCUGUAGAUUAGGAUUGGUCUGUUCCAUGUGCUAUAUAAUUCUGGAGUGCAAGCUGAAGUGGUGAUUGCUACCCAGGGCAAGAUCUUCACAUGGUCAUGGCAGUGUUGUGUGUGAUAUUCCCAGCCACACAAGUCUGUCUCAGGCCUCCAUCUGUGGCUCAUCUGUAACAGCCUUUUAACUGAAGCCAAUCAUGUGGUUGAGGAUCGGGAAGGUGUGAUUUUCAUAAGAAUCCAGAAAAAAGCACAAUGUAUGAAAUCACUAAAUGAGACAAAACAAUUUUACUCAAUAAUUCAAUCUACUCUCCACCCCUGUGCUGAACGUUCACUGCAAGAAACACCGGCAGGCUAUUACAAGUAGAUGAAGAACAACUAUUCUACAAAAGACUAUGAGAGGACAAUGGAACAGUGACUGGGCAAGGGAGACCUAUUUUGAAUGAAGGCAGCAUCAUCUGACAGACUGACAGACAAGAGGAAAAGGAGCUGGACCUGCAGGCUUCUGGAUUUUGCAGCUGUAUUAGUUAUUGUGAGAAAAUAUUGUCAGAAGGAACUUAAGGAAGGGAGGACUUCACACAAGAAAUAGAGAACUGGCAACAAAGUAUAAAUUUUAAGAGAUGCUUGCUCCCUCAACAUCCUCUCCUUGCCAAUGUGUGACGUGCUCUGGGGCACUUUCCAAUCAUUGCUGCUGUUAGCCAGCUAAUCAUCAGAGUCGUCAACAUGCUGACCCCAGAGAGCACAUGAUUCCCCAUCAUCAGCCUCUUUGCACAAUGCAGCCUCAUCAAUGAGAGGAGUUCCAAACAUCCCUGCAUUCUCUGGCUCAAGAUUGGCAUCAUGGGGAGCCUGCCAGGACUCCAGGAGUGGAGCCAGGGGAUCAGAGUGCCAAA